CACGUAGGAGGCGAGCGUUGUCCGGAAUCAUUGGGCGUAAAGAGCGCGCAGGCGGCUUGGCAAGUCGGGUGUGAAAUCCCGGGGCUCAACCCCGUGACUGCAUCCGAUACUGUCAGGCUAGAGGUAGGUAGGGGAGAUCGGAAUUCCUGGUGUAGCGGUGAAAUGCGUAGAUAUCUGGAGGAACACCGGUGGCGAAGGCGGCAUCCUGGACCGGUAUUGACGCUGAGGCGCGAAAGCGUGGGGAGCGAACAGG
rnacentral:rRNA from 1 species